rnacentral:ncRNA from 1 species
AGGGAUCGCGGCGACUGCGAUCCCGGACGACGGUUCAGUACCCGGAGCGCGACAAGACUGGCCAAG